AACUUUCAACAAUGGAUCUCUUGGUUCUGGCAUCGAUGAAGAACGCAGCGAAAUGCGAUAAGUAGUGUGAAUUGCAGACUUUAGUGAAUCAUCGAAUUUUUGAACGCACAUUGCGCCCCUUGGUAUUCCAUUGGGCAUGCCUGUUCGAGCGUCAU
rnacentral:rRNA from 1 species